rnacentral:lncRNA from 1 species
GCCUGUGUCUGUUGAGCCCUGGCCUAGGACCUGAGCCCUGGGGAGGGGGAGGGCAGUGGCCUCAGCAGGCCCCGGACGCCCAGUCCCUAGCAUUGUUCGUGUGAUGUUGCUAGUGCCUGCCAGGUAGACCGGACUGACCUCCGGGCACCUCCCUCAAGCCAAUGCUGCAGGUACUUGGUAUGGGGCGUCAGGGACUUUGAUAAGAAGAGACAGGGCAGAAGGAUUAGCCAGGGGCUGCCGCCUAGAGUUCCCACCGGAGUGGAGUGACACCACUCGGGCUCCCUCAGCAACUGGCAGCAUCUUUUUCUUACAGGUGCUCAGCUCUGUCAGCUGCAGAUUCACUGAGAACUCCUACCUUGGUAUUCCUCACACUAACCCCCCUCUUUCCAUUUCCCCAGGCUCUAGAAAGGGCCCGUGAACAGAAAGCUGGCUGCGAAAGGGCUGGCCAGAACCCCCAUGAGACCUUAACUGACUCACUUUCUCAGAUGUUGAACUCUCCUGAUUGUGAAAUGACUGGGGCUGGGGUUUGGUGCCAGGAGAUGCUUGGACAGCUGUGUGAGUGGGGGAGAGCACAGCCGAAGGGUUUCUGGAACUGUCCCAAUGAGCUGCUCACAGUGCCAGGAAGAUAUUGGAAGGCGGCAUCCCUUCAUGCCCAGCAUGUCAGCCAUUCGUGUAUCCGCUAACCCUCCUAGCAAAACAGUGACCUGUCACGACCAAGUAAGGCACAUGGGUAACAUCAAGGCAAGAACACCUGUUUCAGGGUCCCUGUGGGGCUCUUGGCAUGUGGGCAAAGUUCCUGGACUGAGUCUUCACACCACAAACUGUAGCUAUGCCAUCUUAUUUUAGAGAUGGGAAGUCGGGCUCAGGAUAGCCACUCGCCAGGGGCAAAGCCAGCUUGUUUGAAUCCGAGUUCACCCUAACAGGGAAAGAAAUGGGGGAAAUACAACCUAACUCAAGACCCCAGGGCUUCUCCAUGCCUAUUCUUAAAAGUUCCUGUCAGAGAUAAAGCCAGGAUGCCAGUCUUGGGUCUAUCAUUGACUUGGCUGUGUAUAGCUGGCCAAGGUCAUCAUUUCAGAGCCUUGGGGCCAUUCUGAUUGAAGGAGAGAGGACAUUCUGGCCAAGACCAGGCACACUGCAGGGGGAGGGGAAGGAAGGAUAUGGACAGGAGUAAGGAGAAGGCCUUCUUCCCUUCCCCCCAUAAAUAUAUACCUUCUACCUGUCUGCUCUGCUGAUACAGCAUACAGUGAUACAGCCAGGCUGGAGAGCUGAUGGGCAAUAUUUAGCAAAUUAGAUCAACACGUACCCUGUGACCCAGCAACUCAAAAUGAAUUCUCACAGAGGCCCUUAAGAACCUUGCUUCUCAAACUUGUGGUCCCACCAGGACCAGCAAUGU